rnacentral:rRNA from 1 species
AUUGAACGCUGGCGGCAGGCCUAACACAUGCAAGUCGAGCGAGCGGCGGACGCGUGAGGACUGUAUGUGGACUGCCCGUUAGAGGGGGAUAACUACUGGAAACGGUAGCUACUACUGCAUACUAUCGGACAACACAUAUGGGAUUAGCUAGUAGGUGAGGUAAUGGCUCACCUAGGCGACGAUCCCUACCUGGUCUGAGAGGAUGAUCAGCAACACUGGAACUGAGACACGGCCCAGACUCCUACGGAGGCAGCAGUGGGGAAUAUUGCACAAUGGGCGCAAGCCUGAUGCAGCCAUGCCGCGUGUAUGAAGAAGGCCCUAGGGUUGUAAAGUACUUUCAGUCGGGAGGCGUUACCGACAGAAGAAGCACCGGCUAACUCCGUGCCAGCAGCCGCGGUAAUAC